UUGAUGCUAAUCUUUCUAUUCGGAAGAAAAGGCCAUUUUUUUCAAACUACAAAAAUUCGUUAAUCGCUGUUAACUUCAUUUUUUUUUAAACGAAUCAUUCUAUGUCGGUCAAACUUCUCGAACCUAUUAAUAAUAUAUAAAUAAAGAAGAACAAAUAAGGUCAAUGACUAAUUUUAAUUAGGGUGGUGAUUACGGGGUUGCUUCCGACCACUUUUGCGCUG
rnacentral:lncRNA from 1 species